rnacentral:rRNA from 1 species
GUAGGUGGCAAGCGUUGUCCGGAAUUAUUGGGCGUAAAGCGCGCGCAGGCGGUUCUUUAAGUCUGAUGUGAAAGCCCACGGCUCAACCGUGGAGGGUCAUUGGAAACUGGAGGAACUUGAGUACAGAAGAGGAAAGCGGAAUUCCACGUGUAGCGGUGAAAUGCGUAGAGAUGUGGAGGAACACCAGUGGCGAAGGCGGCUUUCUGGUCUGUAACUGACGCUGAGGCGCGAAAGCGUGGGGAGCAAACAGGAUUAGAUACCCUGGUAGUCCACGCCGUAAACGAUGAGUGCUAAGUGUUAGGGGGGUUUCCGCCCCCUUAGUGCUGCAGCUAACGCAUUAAGCACUCCGCCUGGGAGUACGGCCGCAAGGCUG